GUUUCUGUAGUGUAGUGGUUAUCACGUUCGCCUGAUAUGCAGAAGGUCCCUGGUCUGAAACCAGGCAGACACA
rnacentral:tRNA from 1 species